AAGAAAAGCGGAAGCGUCUGGAAAGUCGUGCCGUAGUGGGUGAUAGCCCCGUACGCGUUAAUCGAUCUAUUGUCCUCGAGUAGGGCGGAACACGUGAAAUUCUGUCUGAACAUGGGGGGACCACCCUCCAAGCCUAAGUACUCGUGCAUCACCGAUAGCGAACCAGUACCGUGAGGGAAAGGUGAAAAGCACCCCGACGAGGGGAGUGAAACAGUACCUGAAACCGAACGCCUACAAUCAGUCGGAGCUUG
rnacentral:rRNA from 1 species